ACGAACGCUGGCGGCGUGCCUAACACAUGCAAGUCGAGCGAGAAAGGGUUCCUUCGGGGACCGAGUAAAGCGGCGCACGGGUGAGUAACACGUAGGUAAUCUACCCCUAGUCUGGAACAACUAGAGGAAACUCUAGCUAAUGCCGGAUGAGACCACGGUUUCUUCGGAGACUGCGACCAAAGAUGGCCUCUGCUUGCAAGCUAUCGCUGAGGGAUGAGCCUGCGGGCAUUAGCUAGUUGGUGAGGUAACGGCUCACCAAGGCAGUGAUGACUAGCUGGUCUGAGAGGAUGACCAGCCACACUGGGACUGAGACACGGCCCAGACUCCUACGGGAGGCAGCAGUGGGGAAGUAUUGCGCAAGUGGGCGAAAGCCUGACGCAGCGACGCCGCGUGGGUGA
rnacentral:rRNA from 1 species